rnacentral:lncRNA from 1 species
AAAUUCCUGACACAAAAAUUGCAUACUUUAUUUGUCACAAACUUUAAUUAAUAAUCAUUCUUGCUUUAAUAGAUUCAUUCCUCUGAGGACCCUCAAGUACUUCAGAAGAACUAAAAAAUGAAUAUCACGUUACACCAAAGAAGAAAUGAAAGCUGCCAGUGUCUUCUGAAGUUAAACAGGCUCCUGUUCUUUGACCCAGCAAUCCAAUCCUAGGUAUUUAAUUGUUCCCUGAGGUUUAAGGCAGUGGACUGAGGAUAAUACAGGCUCCAGCUUUCAUUAGUUCAAUGGAUGAUGCUGUUCAAUCCAUACUGUUUGGGGCAUUUGUUGAAAAUGUCAUUCAGAAGAUAUCAACACUUUCUGAGUCAUGGUUUGAUUGAAUUUAUAGAAUUAUGUGAUAGAAACCACAUUCUUCACAAAAGUCACAAGGCAAUAAUGACGACAAGGGUUGAAGAUGAAAGAUGCCAAAUAUUCUGAUCAAUUCAAUAAGGCAAAAAGACAAGUUAAUUCACUCAGUGCUCCAGGCAUCAACUUCAUAGAAGGAAUGGAAAUUCUACCUGUUUCCUAAAGAACUACAGAGGUGUACACCAAACGGAGGGCAAAUGCUGUUACCACUCAUCGUGCAAGACUUUUGAGGCAAUUUGGACAUAGACAAGUGAUGGGAAAAUUGAAUCAUUAUAUGGCUCAUGACAGUGUUGAAAACUCAAACAUCCAAGGACCUGUACCUUUGCUAAGUGCCAUGCAUAUGUUGCUGAUAAAGAGGACUCCAACUAAGCCACUAUGCUGGGAGCAGAGAUGGGGAAGAAUUGCUGAGUCAUGAUAAGAGAAGGCACUAUAGGAAGAAACAGUGAACUCUUAACAGCUGGGCAAGCAAUGAGUCAGCCUGGGUGGUCACUCCAGAUGCUCCCGGACACAUCCCAAUUUCUAGGAUGCCUUGCGAAUCUGGGAGGGCUUUCCACACGCCCACCUGAAGACCAUGUGUGACCACGCCCCCAGAGGAGCAUGCCUUCUCCCACUCCCCAAUCCCAUUGCUUAUGACUUCAUUCACAUUUAGAGCGUGGACAGUGAAUCCCCAAUGUCAUUUACACAGGUAUCUAUUAGCCCAAACCUAGCAUAGUUCUACUUGACUGUCAGCACAGAACA